rnacentral:lncRNA from 1 species
AGAAGAUAAGUUGGCAGCUAUGGUAAGAAUAGAAAGAGAAAACGAAGAGAUAGACAGAAAAAAAGAAAUAGAUAAAAUAAAACAACAAACCACAGAAGAAAUACGAAAAAUAGAAAAAACUAAAAAUAGUAGGAUUGCUGAAUUAGACAAAGAACUACAGAAUUAGACAAAGAACUACAAAUGCUAAAAGAUUUUUAUAAAAAAAGACAGAA